rnacentral:lncRNA from 1 species
CCGGGAGUUACACACCAACGAAUUUCUAAAGAAAGCCUAACAAAAAGGCAAAUAAAGCAAGAGGAUUCUCACAGACUCACUGCUGCAGGGCUUUAAAAUCUCAGCCUCAUCUAUUGAACACUAGCCCAGCUUCCCUCAACCCCUCAAAGCAGCAAGAUUUAUGCAAGCCUCCUGUGACAGCAGAGCUUCUGUCCCAUCAGUAGCCUUAUCAAAUCUGUCCUAUAGCCCCAUCAGACCUGAGCGAACACCUGCUUUCCAGGAUGCUGAAAGAAAAAACAGCCGUCUAGUGAGCAGGAAGCCCCAAGUCACAGGCUCAGCCUGGGGGAUCUGAAAGCUAAAAGAAGCCGAAGACCCUGAUGGCUCUGGAGAAGUCACAAGACAGCCCUGAAUGCUCUUGCAGCCUCCUGUCAUGUCAUAAGACCCCCAUUUCAAGAGGGUCCUGCUGCAUACCCAGAAGGAAGGAAUACUGCACAGAGAAGCUAAGAGGAAUUUAAACAGACAGACCUUGCUGGACUUUCCUACUCAGUCUAUUAACAUUAGAUCAUACCCUUUCUGCCCAGUUAUUUUUCUCCAUGGCUGUCCGUACUUCAUUGAACCCAAGCCUAAAAAUGGGCAGUUUCCCCGUAUCUUUGGGUCUUUAUUCUGAAGGCUCCGUGUAAAACUGUAAUCAAAUAAAUCUGUAUACCUUUUC